CCUACGGGAGGCAGCAGUGGGGAAUAUUGGGCAAUGGAGGCAACUCUGACCCAGCAACGCCGCGUGAAUGAUGAAGGUCUUCGGAUUGUAAAGUUCUGUGAUGGGGGAUGAACACAAUGACGGUACCCCAAUAGCAAGCCACGGCUAACUACGUGCCAGCAGCCGCGGUAAUACGUAGGUAGCAAGCGUUAUCCGGAAUGACUGGGCGUAAAGGGUGCGUAGGUGGUUUAGUAAGUUGGCGGUGUAAUUCCGGGGCUCAACCUCGGCGCUACCGCCAAAACUAUUAGACUAGAGUGCAGGAGGGGUAAGUGGAAUUCCUAGUGUAGCGGUGGAAUGCGUAGAUAUUGGGUAGAACACCAGUGGCGAAGGCGACUAUCUGGCUGUACAUUGACGCUGAGGCUCGAAAGCAUGGGGAUCAAACAGGAUUAGAUACCCUGGUAGUC
rnacentral:rRNA from 1 species